UACGAAGGGGGCGAGCGUUGUUCGGAAUCACUGGGCGUAAAGGGCGCGUAGGCGGCCCUCCUUGUCGCGUGUGAAAGCCCCGGGCUCAACCUGGGAACGGCGCGCGAGACGGGGGGGCUGGAGUGCAAGAGAGGCAAGUGGAAUUUCGCAUGUAGUAGUGAAAUGCGUAGAUAUGCGAAGGAACACCAGUGGCGAAGGCGGCUUGCUAGCUUGUAACUGACGCUGAGGCGCGAAAGCUAGGGGAGCGAACGGG
rnacentral:rRNA from 1 species